GACGAACGCUGGCGGCGUGCUUAACACAUGCAAGUCGAACGGAAAGGCCCUGCUUUUGUGGGGUGCUCGAGUGGCGAACGGGUGAGUAACACGUGAGUAACCUGCCCGUGACUUUGGGUUAACUUCAGGAAACUGGGGCUAAUACCGGAUAGGAGCUCCUGCUGCAUGGUGGGGGUUUGAAAGUUUCGGCGGUUGGGGAUGGACUCGCGGUUUAUCAGCUUGUUGGUGGGGUAGUGGCUUACCAAGGCUUUGACGGGUAGCCGGCCUGAGAGGGUGACCGGCCACAUUGGGACUGAGAUACGGCCCAGACUCCUACGGGAGGCAGCAGUGGGGAAUAUUGCACAAUGGGCGGAAGCCUGAUGCAGCAACGCCGCGUGCGGGAUGACGGCCUUCGGGUUGUAAACCGCUUUCGCCUGUGACGAAGCGUGAGUGACGGUAAUGGGUAAAGAAGCACCGGCUAACUACGUG
rnacentral:rRNA from 1 species